CCUACGGGGCGCAGCAGUGAGGAAUAUUGGUCAAUGGACGAGAGUCUGAACCAGCCAAGUAGCGUGAAGGAUGACUGCCCUAUGGGUUGUAAACUUCUUUUAUAAAGGAAUAAAACGAGGCACGUGUGCCUUUUUGCAUGUACUUUAUGAAUAAGGAUCGGCUAACUCCGUGCCAGCAGCCGCGGUAAUACGGAGGAUGCGAGCGUUAUCCGGAUUUAUUGGGUUUAAAGGGUGCGUAGGCGGGAUAUUAAGUCAGCGGUAAAAUCGAGGGGCUCAACCCCUUUCAGCCGUUGAACCUGGUAUUC
rnacentral:rRNA from 1 species